ACAUACCUCCAAUCUGUGUGGAAUAAAAAGUAUGGAGGACUUGAGAAAUCAGCCAGCGAGCUGGAAGGAACAGAACUGCCCUUAGAGGAAAAAGAGAUGUCACAUACAUCCUGUGAGAGGAGCUGGGCUGGCCACAGCCUUUCUCCUACGGGUGGGCACACGGCAUCACUACCAACUUCAUCCUUGUGGAUUGCCCAUAUGCUGGCAGAGGUGGCAGGAGAAAAGGACCAAGUCAGUGCAUUUGCCAGCAGUCAAGGAUUGUCCUGCCAGGGAGAUACAAAGCCAAAAGGCCUUGGCCCAGAGACUUUUCUUAUCAAAUGAAGCUGGCCAGACUUUUCAGGCUGCAAAAAGAGCGAUCAAAGAGCAGUAGCCAUUUUCUGUGAGUUGUCACUCCCUGAUUAUAAUGAACAAAAAAAAAAAAGAAAUGUACCUGUAAGUCAUGCUGAUUUGGACAAUACAGAGAAGGCUUCGAUAAAGCUUGAGA